AUCUCAAGAUAUCUUGAAAUUUAAAAUGAGAUUAAUACGUUAUAUUUAGUUUACGUCAUCAUGCAUCAAACAGAAACGUGUAAAAACGAUAUAUUCUUAAAUUGAAAAAAUUCUUAAAGAGUCAUAAAUUAUUUCCAUCAAAUUAAAAAGAAUCGAAUGCCUCGUUUGAAGUAAGAUAUCAUUAUGGCGUGAAUACAUCGCUAUGAUGAGGGACGUUCGUACAUUUUUAAAAAAGUCGGUGAAUGUAAAGCAAUCGACUUACUUUGGAAAAGUGAAUUUCGUCUUGUCACUAAUCGCUUCUAUAAAGAUGAUACCAUCGAGAACAGCUUGCCUAACUUUUGUACCUAAUUCUUUAUUAGGGAAAUCAAGGCAGAGGUCGAUGUCUUCUUUAAAAAUUCUACCAACAAAAGGAUCGCCUUUGUCUACGCAUGGACUGACUUUCCA